rnacentral:tRNA from 1 species
GCCCCCGUAGCUCAACGGAUAGAGCGCCGGACUUCGAAUCCGUAGAUGUGAGUUCGAUCCUCGCCGGGGGCG